rnacentral:rRNA from 1 species
GAUGAACGCUGGCGGCGUGCCUAAUACAUGCAAGUCGAGCGAACAGAUGAGAAGCUUGCUUCUCUGAUGUUAGCGGCGGACGGGUGAGUAACACGUGGGUAACCUACCUAUAAGACUGGGAUAACUCCGGGAAACCGGGGCUAAUACCGGAUAAUAUUUUGAACCGCAUGGUUCAAUAGUGAAAGACGGUUUCGGCUGUCACUUAUAGAUGGACCCGCGCCGUAUUAGCUAGUUGGUAAGGUAACGGCUUACCAAGGCGACGAUACGUAGCCGACCUAGGAGGGUGAUCGGCCACACUGGAACUGAGACGCGGUCCAGACUCCUACGGGAGGCAGCAGUAGGGAAUCUUCCGCAAUGGGCGAAAGCCUGACGGAGCAACGCCGCGUGAGUGAUGAAGGUCUUCGGAUCGUAAAACUCUGUUGUUAGGGAAGAACAAAUUUGUUAGUAACUGAACAAGUCUUGACGGUACCUAACUAGAAAGCCACGGCUAACUACGUGCCAGCCGCCGCCGUAA